CUCUUGUUCUCUUUGGGGUUUUCUUACAAAAUUCAUGAUCCACCCGACCGUCCAAACUCAAAUUUGAUUUCGGGAACGUGAUCUACGAAGUCCGAUCUACAUUUCUACCGAUUAGUUUGAGUGACGUAUUGCAAUGUGGUGUCUAGGAGACCCAGUGCCUAAUAUCCACGCAGCCAAGACGUUUAUGCUUUGGUUGCAGGUUUUGCGGAUAUAGUUAUUGACUCGUCCACCUAGUGUAUGGGAUGCUAUGAUUGGAGCAUAUUGCGACAGUCAUAAGUCACGGACUCAUGGGUAGUCCGCAUUUUGGGUAUUUUAUUUAUGGCUCGUGUUCUACGUGACACAUGUAUUUUUUGAGUCUAUAUUUGGUAUGUAAUUAGUGUAAUAUGUUUUAUAAGCUUUAAAUAGAUAGACUUGUAAAUGGCUCUUGUUGUAAUUAACUGUUAUGUAUUAUAUGUAUUUCCGCUU